rnacentral:rRNA from 1 species
UGGGGGAUAUUGCACAAUGGGCGAAAGCCUGAUGCAGCGACGCCGCGUGGGGGAUGAAGGCCUUCGGGUUGUAAACUUCUUUUGCUCUGAACAAGGCAUGCCUUUGGGGUGUGUUGAGUGUAGGGGUUGAUUAGCGCCGGCUAACUACGUGCCAGUAGCCGCGGUAAUACGUAGGGCGCGAGCGUUGUCCGGAAUUAUUGGGCGUAAUGGGCUUGUAGGUGGCUUGUUGCGUCUGUCGUGAAAGCUCAUGGCUUAACUGUGGGUUUGCGGUGGGUACAGGCUGGCUUGAGUACAGUAGGGGAGGCUGGAAUUCCUGGUGUAGCGGUGGAAUGCGCAGAUAUCAGGAGGAAUACCGGUGGCGAAGGCGGGUCUCUGGGCUGUUACUGACGCUGAGGAGCGAAAGCGUGGGGAGCGAACAGG